rnacentral:rRNA from 1 species
GGGAAUCUACCGUGCCCUGCGGAAUAGCUCCGGGAAACUGGAAUUAAUACCGCAUACGCCCUACGGGGGAAAGAUUUAUCGGGGUAUGAUGAGCCCGCGUUGGAUUAGCUAGUUGGUGGGGUAAAGGCCUACCAAGGCGACGAUCCAUAGCUGGUCUGAGAGGAUGAUCAGCCACAUUGGGACUGAGACACGGCCCAAACUCCUACGGGAGGCAGCAGUGGGGAAUAUUGGACAAUGGGCGCAAGCCUGAUCCAGCCAUGCCGCGUGAGUGAUGAAGGCCUUAGGGUUGUAAAGCUCUUUCACCGGAGAAGAUAAUGACGGUAUCCGGAGAAGAAGCCCCGGCUAACUUCGUGCCAGCAGCCGCGGUAAUACGAAGGGGGCUAGCGUUGUUCGGAAUUACUGGGCGUAAAGCGCACGUAGGCGGAUAUUUAAGUCAGGGGUGAAAUCCCAGAGCUCAACUCUGGAACUGCCUUUGAUACUGGGUAUCUUGAGUGUGGAAGAGGUAAGUGGAAUUGCGAGU